rnacentral:rRNA from 1 species
AGCGAACGCUGGCGGCAGGCCUAACACAUGCAAGUCGAACGAACCUUUCGGGGUUAGUGGCGGACGGGUGAGUAACACGUGGGAACGUGCCUUUAGGUUCGGAAUAACUCAGGGAAACUUGUGCUAAUACCGAAUGUGCCCUUCGGGGGAAAGAUUAAUCGCCUUUAGAGCGGCCCGCGUCUGAUUAGCUAGUUGGUUGAGGUAAUGGCUCACCAAGGCGACGAUCAGUAGCUGGUCUGAGAGGAUGAUCAGCCACAUUGGGACUGAGACACGGCCCAAACUCCUACGGGAGGCAGCAGUGGGGAAUCAUGCGCAAUGGGCGAAAGCCUGACGCAGCCAUGCCGCGUGAAUGAUGAAGGUCUUAGGAUUGUAAAAUUCUUUCACCGGGGACGAUAAUGACGGUACCCGGAGAAGAAGCCCCGGCUAACUUCGUG